rnacentral:rRNA from 1 species
UACGAAGGGGGCUAGCGUUGCUCGGAAUCACUGGGCGUAAAGCGCACGUAGGCGGAUUUCUAAGUCAGGGGUGAAAUCCUGGAGCUCAACUCCAGAACUGCCUUUGAUACUGGGAAUCUUCGAGUCCGGGAGAGGUGAGUGGAACUGCGAGUGUAGAGGUGAAAUUCGUAGAUAUUCGCAAGAACACCAGUGGCGAAGGCGGCUCACUGGCCCGGUACUGACGCUGAGGUGCGAAAGCGUGGGGAGCAACAGGAU